GUGGGCACACAGGGUAGUGGUUUGUUUUGAAGGUCCCUGAGUGGACAGCAGAACUAGCUGCUCUAAUCUGCAGUCUGUUUGCCUGGACCUCAUCCAUUCUCAGUGUGGACUGUGACCCACAGCGUGGGCCCCAGAUGACCUUGCCUUGGGUGCUUCUCCACUUCUCUUUCUGAAUCCCUUGCAUCUUUCUAACACACAGGGCCACACCUCCCCUGUCUGUCUUCUCUCCUUUUCCUUCAGGGUUUUACUUCCGGCUACUACCCGAUAAUCCUCUCCCAAUAAGGUGUUCAUUAAUAAGGGGAAUAAAACAUCCUCUAAAACACAAAAGAAUUGAUAUAUAGUGCUGGAAUUCCUGGCCAGGUGCACAAACUGUGUUGGAGAUUAGGAAAGGAUCUUAGAAAUCGUGUAUUGAAGAUGAGGAAAUCGAAGCCCCAAGAGUUAGUGGAAUUGCUGAAGCUAGUAGCCAGCAGUCUUUCCAUUACAUCGUGUUUCCUCAGGUCAUUUUAAGUGGGGUCUUUCCUGCUAUGUUUUAUAUCUUAUGUGGCUGAGGGUGGCCCUGCAUUUGGACCAUAUACACAACAUCAGCGUUUGGGGAGCAGGAGGUCAGUUCAAGGGGAAAGGGAACCCUCAUCGGCAGUGUCCCGGACUCCAGUGUGACCCCAGGAUCCAUGCUUUUAAAUGCCAUUAUGAAAUGCAGUCCAUUACAGCUCAGCCACUCUUCCCGUCAGACUAAUGCAGCCAUGGUGGAGGGAAUGGGGUGGAGGCUGGCUGCCUGGGAAGAGGGAUUACCCCUGCUGGGUCAGCCUGGUCACCGAAAUAAAAAUGGGAGCUAUGCCUAUCAACUCAUCAGGUCUGCCCGUUUCUACGAUUACCCCGUUUCCAAUCUCUCUUCUAGAGAAAAGAGGAUUGCUGGACACUUCCACCCCCACCCCUGGCAGGCAGGGCCGUGUUUUCGUGGGGGGAUGUGUUUGAGGUAGGCACGCAGCAGGCUGAGAGCUUUGCCCUCUUUGUCUUCCAGAGCUGGCAAAUCACAGCGGGAUGGCCGUCCCCUGAGAGAUAAAGAGGUGGAGAAACAGCCCAGCAGGGGCCUGGAGCAGCUGGCUGGCGUCAGUAAUUUCCUGCAGGAGACUGUGCCGGCCGAGCACACGUCAUCUUUGUGUUGCCCCUCUGUUUUCUCCCGUGUGCCACUAAAAUAAGCUAAUGCAACCCAUGGGCUGUGCUGAUCUACAUGCAGCUAUUCAACUCUGGGGAACACUGAUAUAAAGCAGCAUCACCUAUUUGGAACAAAAUGGGGAGGAGCUACUCCAGGGAGUGCAGCAGAGAACAAGACGACCAUACUCCUGACUGUCAUGGAACUUGCAGCCAAGCAGGGUAGAGUCAAGCGGACUGGAUAAAUUCUAUUGACCUGUCUUCAAGUUCACUGAUUGUAUCUUCUGUCAUCUCCACUCUACUAUUAAACCCAUCCAAUAAGG